rnacentral:tRNA from 1 species
CGCUAUGAAGCUACCCUAGCGUUAACCUUUUAAGUUAAAGAAUGAGAACAAUUGUUCUCCAUAGCGA